GCAUGCAUACAACAUAACAUUAAUGCAUUGGAUCCCAUUAGAACUUCACAGUUAAGCAUGCUAGAUUAGUACUGGGAUGGGUGACUGCCUAGAAAGUCUUAGUGUUUUACAUGCC
rfam:Picea glauca, whole genome shotgun sequence.